UGAAACGUCAUAGUGAGGAUUCCAGUCUUUCAAAAGGGAAGAUUUACUGCACCACAUAAAUUCUUCUGCUAUUGCUUUUUCUUCCUAUAACAAAGUGUCUACAGGGAAGACAGAGAGAUGGUACCAGAAGCCAGAAUAUUAUUUACAAAACAAGGAAGAAGACAAACUGCUGUUAAGGAACAAGCAUGUUUCUGGGAAUGAUUGUUGUCCAGGAAAAUUCUCCAGUGGGGGAAAAAAAAAAGAAGAAAAGAAGAAAUUAAAACAGAAGUUCAAGGAUAAGAUCAUUCUAGAAACAAGGAUAAAAACAAUUAAACACAAUAACUGAAGCGUGUAACUGACAAACGUGGAAAAUCGUAAAAUCUGACACUAAAGUUCUUGACAGUGCAAAAGAACACUUAUGUACCCAAGCCCCAUUAAUUUUUGGUGAGAACCGGAUAGCUAGCUGUUCUUGCUGCCUUUGAAAAUGUUCCUAUAAUCAAUCUUAAAAGAAUUUCCAGUCUUCUGAAAGUUUUCCUAUAAAAAGAAAUGUACCUUGCACUAAUUUCUUGCACUGUCUUCUCAAUUACUGCUUAUAUUUGAAAAGCUUUUUCUAUUCUGCUCA
rnacentral:lncRNA from 1 species